rnacentral:rRNA from 1 species
UGCCAGCCGCCGCGGUAAUACGGAGGGUGCUAGCGUUGUUCGGAAUUACUGGGCGUAAAGCGCGCGUAGGCGGCUUAUUAAGUUAACUGUGAAAUCCCAAAGCUUAACUUUGGAACUGCAGUUAAUACUGGUAGGCUAGAGCAUAGUAGGGGAUAGUGGAAUUUCUGGUGUAGGGGUGAAAUCCGUAGAUAUCAGAAGGAAGGCCAGCGGCGAAGGCGACUAUCUGGGCUAUUGCUGACGCUGAGGUGCGAAAGCGUGGGGAGCAAACAGGAUUAGAUA